UGUGCCCUUUGGGUUCCACACAAUGUGUAAUAAGGAAAAUGUAAUUAUUUUCAUAACUUUCAACUUUGCGGGGAGAUCAAGUUGUUAUUUUGUUUAAAUAUGGAUCCGGAUUGCCACCAUCCUACAGUUUUUGGAGGCUUGUGUGCCGAAUGUGGCCUUGAUAUAUCGACAUGGAUUUUAAAAACUGCUGCCGACAAAAAAUUAGAUUUUAUAAGGUUACCAGGGACCGAGCUUCACAUAGCAGCCACCGAUGCCAUAGAAAAAGGGAAGCUAGAAAUGGAAAGAUUAAAAAAUUUAAGGAAAUUAGCUUUGAUAGUUGAUUUAGAUCAAACACUAAUUCAUGCUACUACAGUAGAAGAAGCGCCAUAUAUUAGUCAUUGGCUGCGAGAUCCAAA